rnacentral:rRNA from 1 species
UACGUAGGGUGCAAGCGUUGUCCGGAAUUAUUGGGCGUAAGAGCUACGUAGGCGGUUUGUCGCGUCUGCUGUGAAAACCUAAGGCUCAACCUUGGGCUUGCAGUGGGUACGGGCAGACUAGAGUGCGGUAGGGGUGACUGGAAUUCCUGGUGUAGCGGUGGAAUGCGCAGAUAUCAGGAGGAACACCGAUGGCGAAGGCAGGUCACUGGGCCGCAACUG